CGGAGGGUGCAAGCGUUAUCCGGAUUCACUGGGUUUAAAGGGUGCGUAGGUGGGGUGGUAAGUCAGUGGUGAAAUCUCCAGGCUUAACUUGGAAACUGCCAUUGAUACUAUCAUUCUUGAAUACCGUGGAGAUGAGCGGAAUAUGUCAUGUAGCGGUGAAAUGCUUAGAUAUGACAUAGAACACCAAUUGCGAAGGCAGCUCGUUACACGAAUAUUGACACUCAGGCACGAAAGCGUGGGGAUCAAACAGGAUUAGAUACCCUGGUAGUCCACGCCCUAAACGAUGGAUACUCGACAUUUGCGAUAAACUGCAAGUGUCUGAGCGAAAGCAUUAAGUAUCCCACCUGGGAAGUACGAUCGCAAGAUUG
rnacentral:rRNA from 1 species